rnacentral:rRNA from 1 species
GACGGAGGGUGCAAGCGUUGUUCGGAAUUACUGGGCGUAAAGCGCGCGCAGGCGGUCUUCUAAGUCCCUCGUGAAAUCCCGGGGCUCAACCCCGGAUAUGCGUGGGAUACUGGUCGACUUGAGAACGGUAGAGGCUGGCGGAAUUCCUGGUGUAGCGGUGGAAUGCGUAGAUAUCAGGAGGAACACCGGUGGCGAAGGCGGCUAGCUGGGCCGUUUCUGACGCUCAUGUGCGAAAGCGUGGGGAGCAAACAGG